rnacentral:rRNA from 1 species
CUGCGGAAGGAUCAUUACCGAGUGUAGGGUUCCUAGCGAGCCCAACCUCCCACCCGUGUUUACUGUACCUUAGUUGCUUCGGCGGGCCCGCCAUUCAUGGCCGCCGGGGGCUCUCAGCCCCGGGCCCGCGCCCGCCGGAGACACCACGAACUCUGUCUGAUCUAGUGAAGUCUGAGUUGAUUGUAUCGCAAUCAGUUAAAACUUUCAACAAUGGAUCUCUUGGUUCCGGCAUCGAUGAAGAACGCAGCGAAAUGCGAUAACUAGUGUGAAUUGCAGAAUUCCGUGAAUCAUCGAGUCUUUGAACGCACAUUGCGCCCCCUGGUAUUCCGGGGGGCAUGCCUGUCCGAGCGUCAUUGCUGCCCAUCAAGCACGGCUUGUGUGUUGGGUCGUCGUCCCCUCUCCGGGGGGGACGGGCCCCAAAGGCAGCGGCGGCACCGCGUCCGAUCCUCGAGCGUAUGGGGCUUUGUCACCCGCUCUGUAGGCCCGGCCGGCGCUUGCCGAACGCAAAUCAAUCUUUUUCCAGGUUGACCUCGGAUCAGGUAGGGAUACCCGCUGAACUUAAGCAUA